rnacentral:lncRNA from 1 species
AUUUUGGCUUCCUGACCUUGGGCUACGGCUGACCGUUUUUUGUGGUGUACUCCGUGCCAUCAUGUCCGUCCUGACGCCGCUGCUGCUGCGGGGCUUGACAGGCUCGGCCCGGCGGCUCCCAGUGCCGCGCGCCAAGAUCCAUUCGUUGCCGCCGGAGGGGAAGCUUGGGAUCAUGGGAAAAGAAAACGGAAUUGGCUCCAGGAGGAUCUGCAAUCACCACCGGGAACUUUGGGAGGCUGGGAAGAUGGAGCCAAACCAAUGUGUGGGGUGGAGGUGCGGAUCUGGGGCGGCCGGCCUCUCCUACAGGUCUCAGGUCCGCAGGCCUGGCGUGCCAGCACCUGCCACGGGACUGGAAGCCCAUUCCUUGACAACGCCUAAGGGGAUCCCGUUGCUAGGGCUGUUGCCAAGGCGGGGCAACGAGGAGGGGCUCGCUUCCGGGAGGACGGCAAUUGGCAACCCGGAAGCGGUCGGUAGUGCGGCGCUGUUUAAAGAUGGCGGCGGAGGAACCUCAGCAGCAGAAGCAGGAGCCGCUGGGCAGCGACUCCGAAGGUGUUAACUG